GUGCCAGCCGCCGCGGUAAUACCGGCAGCCCGAGUGAUGGCCGAUCUUAUUGGGCCUAAAGCGUCCGUAGCUGGCCUCGCAAGUCCGUCGGGAAAUCCAGUAGCCCAACUACUGGGCGUCCGGCGGAAACUACAAGGCUUGGGACCGGAAGGCUCGAGGGGUACGUCCGGGGUAGGAGUGAAAUCCCGUAAUCCUGGACGGACCGCCGAUGGCGAAAGCACGUCGCGAGAACGGAUCCGACAGUGAGGGACGAAAGCCAGGGUCUCGAACCGGAUUAGAUACCCGUGUAGUCC
rnacentral:rRNA from 1 species